GAUGAAGAACGUAGCGAAAUGCGAUAAGUAAUGUGAAUUGCAGAAUUCAGUGAAUCAUCGAAUCUUUGAACGCACAUUGCGCCCCUUGGUAUUCCGAGGGGCAUGCCUGUUCGAGCGUCAUUACACCACUCAAGCUAUGCUUGGUAUUGGGCGUCGUCCUUAGUUGGGCGCGCCUUAAAGACCUCGGCGAGGCCACUCCGGCUUUAGGCGUAGUAGAAUUUAUUCGAACGUCUGUCAAAGGAGAGGAACUCUGCCGACUGAAACAUUUAUUUUUCUAGGUUGACCUCGGAUCAGGUAGGGAUACCCGCUGAACUUAAGCAUAUCAAUAAGCGGAGGA
rnacentral:misc_RNA from 1 species